rnacentral:rRNA from 1 species
AUUAAACGCUGGCGGCAUGCCUUACACAUGCAAGUCGAACGGCAGCACGGGGGCAACCCUGGUGGCGAGUGGCGAACGGGUGAGUAAAGCAUCGGAACGUGCCCUGGAGUGGGGGAUAACGUAGCGAAAGUUACGCUAAUACCGCAUAUUCUGUGAGCAGGAAAGCAGGGGAUCGCAAGACCUUGCGCUUUGGGAGCGGCCGAUGUCGGAUUAGCUAGUUGGUGGGGUAAAGGCCUACCAAGGCGACGAUCCGUAGCGGGUCUGAGAGGAUGUUCGCCAUACUGGGACUGAGACACGGCCCAGACUCCUACGGGAGGCAGCAGUGGGGAAUUUUGGACAAUGGGCGCAAGCCUGAUCCAGCCAUGCCGCGUGAGUGAAGAAGGCCUCGGUUGUAA